rnacentral:rRNA from 1 species
GACGAACGCUUGCGGCGUGCCUAAUACAUGCAAGUCGACCUUAGUGGCGGACGGGUGUGUAAUGCCUAGGAAUCUGCCUGGUCGUGGGGGAUAACGUCCGGAAACGGGCGCUAAUACCCCAUACUCUCCGAUGAGCCUAGGUCGGCUUAGCUAGUUGGUGGGGUAAAGGCCUACCAAGGCGACGAUCCGUAACUGGUCUGAGAGGAUGAUAAGACACACUGGAACUGAGAAACGGUCCAGAAUGCGACGGGAGGCAGAAGUGGGGAAGAGUGGAAAAUGGGCGAAAGCCUGAUCCAGCCAAGCCGCGUGUGUGAAGAAGGUCUUGGGAUUGUAAAGAACUUUAAGUUGGGAGGCGUUACCAACAGAAUAAGCACCGGCUAACUUCGUGCCAGCAGCCGCGGUAAUAC